rnacentral:rRNA from 1 species
AUACGGAGGGUGCAAGCGUUAUCCGGAUUUAUUGGGUUUAAAGGGUGCGUAGGCGGUUCUAUAAGUCAGUGGUGAAAUAUUCCGGCUCAACCGGGAGACUGCCAUUGAUACUGUAGAGCUGGAAUUUGGUUGCUGUGGGUGGAAUGUGUGGUGUAGCGGUGAAAUGCUUAGAGAUCACACAGAAUAUCGAUUGCGAAGGCAGCUCACAAAGCCAAUAUUGACGCUGAUGCACGAAAGUGUGGGGAUC